rnacentral:rRNA from 1 species
GAUGAACGCUAGCGAUAGGCUUAACACAUGCAAGUCGAGGGGCAGCAUAGUCUUAGCUUGCUAAGACUGAUGGCGACCGGCGCACGGGUGCGUAACGCGUAUGCAACUUGCCUCACAGAGGGGGAUAACCCGUCGAAAGACGGACUAAUACCGCGUACACUUGGGAUAGGGCAUCCUGACCCAAGGAAAUGAAAUUCGCUGUGAGAUAGGCAUGCGUCCCAUUAGCUAGUUGGUGAGGUAACGGCUCACCAAGGCGACGAUGGGUAGGGGAACUGAGAGGUUGAACCCCCACACUGGUACUGAGACACGGACCAGACUCCUACGGGAGGCAGCAGUGAGGAAUAUUGGUCAAUGGGCGAGAGCCUGAACCAGCCAAGUCGCGUGAAGGAUGACUGUCUUAUGGAUUGUAAACUUCUUUUAGACGGGAAUAACAAGAGCCACGUGUGGCUCCCUGCAUGUACCGUAUGAAUAAGCAUCGGCUAACUCCGUG